rnacentral:lncRNA from 1 species
AAAUGUGUCCAGGUGGCCCUAGAGAAAUCAUCAACUAUGGUGAGAAAGUAUUUACUGCCAAAGGAAGUAGAAGUAUGGUAAGGACCCCAAGUGUCUACAUGUAUUAGUUGAAAGGGUCUAGUAGUGCUAAUACUGCUAUCAGAAAAAGGCAAUCCGGUUUGUUUUGCCAUAGGACAAAUAGAACAAGGAAAAGGUUGUUUAGCAGCAAAGGGAAAAGAAAAAGGUAAUCUGGUCUGUUUUGCCAUAGGACAAAUAGAGCAAGGAAAAGGUUGUUUAGAAGCAAAAGGAAAAGAUAAACCAGAAAUAUGUUUCAUAUUAGCAAAAGAAGUAUGUGCUAAUCUCAAAUGCCAAAUGUAAUUCAUAUCAAAAGUGGCAGCAUUAUUACAACUGGAAGUAUGUACAAUUGAGGAUGAGCUAAAAUGUUUGCUGUCAGAAACAACAUCAUCAUUACAAACAUUAGAAACACUAUGCUCAGAAGUAGAGGAGGAUUUAGAAGAAGUAGAAGAGGAAGGAGGCAGCCAAGAAUACUUGUAUAACCCAGCUUCCUCCUUACCAAGAGCCAGAAGCCUCUUCAGAGAAAGGUCCUGUAACAGGUAAAGGAGACAUGAAGUUGGAGU